AGUGAACGCUGGCGGUAGGCCUAACACAUGCAAGUCGAACGGCAGCACAGUAAGAGCUUGCUCUUACGGGUGGCGAGUGGCGGACGGGUGAGGAAAACAUCGGUAUCUAUUUUUUCGAGGGGGAUAACGUAGGGAAACUUACGCUAAUACCGCAUACGACCUACGGGUGAAAGCAGGGGAUCUUCCGGUCUUGCGUGAUCGAAUGAGCUGUGGUCGGUUUAGUUAGUUGGCGGGGUACAGGCUCACCAAGGCGACGAUGCGUAGCCGGUCUGAGGGGACGAAGCGGCACACUGGGACUGAGCCGCGGUCCAGACUCUUACGGGAGGCAGAGGUGGGGAAUAGUGGACGAUGGGGGCAAGCUUGAUCCAGGCAUGCAGCGUGGGUGAAGAAGGGCCUCGGGUUGUAAAGCGCUUUUGGUGGGGAAGAACGGUAGCAGCUUGAGAGCAGGCUGUGGUGACGGUACCCAAAGAAUAAGCACCGGCUAACUUCGUG
rnacentral:rRNA from 1 species